rnacentral:RNase_P_RNA from 1 species
UGGGUCGACAAGACGGUCGCGUCGCGGAAAACCGCGCCGAGGAACGUCCGGGCUCCACAGGGGAGAACGGUGGGUAACGCCCACCCGGGGUAACCCGCGAGCAAGUGCAACAGAAAGUAAACCGCCAGGCAACUGGUAAGGGUGAAAGGGUGGUGUAAGAGACCACCAGCGUUUAUGGUGACAUAAGCGGCUAGGUAAACCUCGUUCGGAGCAAGACCAUGCAGCAGACAACGACGCGCCCCGCUGAGUCUGCGGGUAGGUUGCUAGAGCACGCAGGUAACUGCGCGCCGAGAUAGAUGGCCGUCACGAUGCAAAUCGCACAGAACCCGGCGUAUCAGUCGGCCCAUUCC